rnacentral:misc_RNA from 1 species
CCCUUGCUCACAAUGAUGUGGGUUCCAUUCUUCAUAAUUCAUGGAAAAAAUGUUUAUUUGUAAUUGGUGCAUUUUAUAAUUUGCCCGCUUUAUGUAUGUGAGGGUUUGGUUAUUUCAAUAAUUUAAGUAGUUGCUUCCAUUUUUAAAGUUGGGAUGACAUUAUGUCUUCCUUUCUUAUGUUUGCAUAAGUGUUCUAUUUUUGCCUUCCCUUGUUACCCCCUCCCUUGUUUCUCUUAUUUCUUUAUAUUUAACUCACAAGAUUUUCUGAUUGCUUGGAAUUUGUAUCAUUGUUAGCUUGUUUUUUGAGUUUGAUACUGUUAGUAUUGAGUAUAGUGGGAUAGAUUCAAGAGACCUGUGAAAGCUGAAAUAUCUGGAGUUGCUCAAGUCUGUUAAUGUUUCUCGUCUUUUAUUUCUUUGGUAGCUUAGAAUAAAACAGGACAUAUGAAUCUAUGAUAAUUGCUUGUUUUUGGAUUUUGAGAUCAACUGGUCUGGUUGUGUUGUCCUAUGCCUUCCUUCCAAUGGUCAAUCAUAUGUGGAUUUUCUCUCAUGCCUGUUGUUGGAAGAGUUUGGAGUUUGCUAUGCAUAGUCCCUAGUUUCUUGUAGAACUGUUUCAUGGAAACACUGUUUCUAUUUCAUUGUUUAUGGUAAUUUUUGCAAGGUUGAAAGUCCCUAGCUUCUUGUACAACUAUCUCAUGGAACAUUAUUAAUAUUUCAUUGUUUAUGGUAAUUUUUGCAAGGUUGAAAGUCCCUAGCUUCUUGUACAACUAUCUCAUGGAACAUUAUUAA